rnacentral:rRNA from 1 species
CACGGGGUUGCGAGCGUUGUCCGGAAUUACUAGGCGUAAAGGGCAGGCAGGCGGAUCCAUAAGUUUAUCGUUUAAGGCGUCGGCUUAACCGGCGUAGGGCGGUAGAUACUGUGGAUCUGGAAUGCGGUUGGGGAAGACAGAAUUCCUGGUGUAGCGGUGGAAUGCGCAGAGAUCAGGAGGAAUACCGAGGGCGAAGGCAGUCUUCCAAGCCGUUAUUGACGCUCAACUGCGAAGGUGUGGGUAUCAAACAGGAUUAGAUACCCUGGUAGUCCCUGA